UGGAGGCAGCAGUGAGGAAUAUUGGACAAUGGGCGCAAGCCUGAUCCAGCAAUGCCGCGUGAGUGAUGAAGGCCUUCGGGUUGUAAAGCUCUUUCGCACGCGACGAUGAUGACGGUAGCGUGAGAAGGAGCCCCGGCUAACUUCGUGCCAGCAGCCGCGGUAAUACGAAGGGGGCUAGCGUUGUUCGGAAUUACUGGGCGUAAAGGGCGCGCAGGCGGUGUGUCAAGUCAGGCGUGAAAGCCCCGGGCUCAACCUGGGAACCGCGCUUGAGACUGGCACGCUCGAGUUCGGGAGAGGAUGGUGGAAUUCCCAGUGUAGAGGUGAAAUUCGUAGAUAUUGGGGAGAACACCGAUGGCGAAGGCAGCCAUCUGGACCGACACUGACGCUGAGGCGCGAAAGCGUGGGGAGCAAACAGGAUUAGAUACCCGUGUAU
rnacentral:rRNA from 1 species